AUUACCCCAAUAAUUGUUAACCCAACACAGGCAUGCACUACUAAAGGACAGAUUAAAAAGAAUAAAAGGAACUCGGCAAACCAAAACCCCGCCUGUUUACCAAAAACAUCACCUCUAGCAUUUCAAGUAUUAGAGGCACUGCCUGCCCAGUGAAUUAAUUUUAACGGCCGCGGUAUCCUGACCGUGCAAAGGUAGCAUAAUCACUUGUCUCCUAAAUAGAGACUUGUAUGAAUGGCAAAACGAGGGUUUAACUGUCUCUUUUUCUCAAUCAAUGAAAUUGACCUACCCGUGCAGAGGCGGGUAUAACUUUAUAAGACGAGAAGACCCUGUGGAGCUUAAAAUUACAACUUAAAUUAAUUUAUACUAUACCCUAAGGGAUUAAUCUUACAAAACUUUUUAAGCUGAAUUUUUGGUUGGGGUGACCUCGGAGCACAAGCAACCCUCCGAAUGACAUAACUAAGACUAACACAUCUAAGUGCAACCUAAGCCAGUAAUUGACCCAAAACUAGAUCAACGGAACAAGUUACCCCAGGGAUAACAGCGCAAUCCUAUUUAAGAGCCCAUAUCGACAAUUAGGGUUUACGACCUCGAUGUUGGAUCAGGACACCCCAAUGGUGCAGCCGCUAUUAAAGGUUCGUUUGUUCAACGAUUAAAGUCCUACGUGAUCUGAGUUCAGACCGGAGAAAUCCAGGUCGGUUUCUAUCUAUAUAAUAAUUUCUCC
rnacentral:ncRNA from 1 species